UAACACGUGGGCGACCUGCCUUUGAGUGGGGAAUAACGCUGGGAAACCAGCGCUAAUACCGCAUACGCUCCCUCUUUCAUUAGAGGGAGGAAAGCUUCAUGCGCUCAAAGAGGGGCCUGCGGCGGAUUAGCUAGUCGGUGGGGUAACGGCCUACCGAGGCAUCGAUCCGUAGCUGGUCUGAGAGGAUGAUCAGCCACACUGGGACUGAGACACGGCCCAG
rnacentral:rRNA from 1 species